rnacentral:misc_RNA from 1 species
GAGAGAUAAGACAGAAUCCUAAGAAAAUACAGAAUCCCGUGAGAGACUUUUGUGACAUAGGACAUGCAGCUCAAUCCGCAUCACAAUAAGCAAGAAUCUGAAAAUCAUUGUCAACAGGAAAAAAUAAUCCUUUCUCUGGACACUCUUUCAGAUAGCACAACGCAUGAAGAGCAAGAUCAAGAUGUGGUUUGCGAGGUGAUUGUAUAAACUGACUCAACUAUUAAGUUGAGUAGUUAAUGUUGGGUCUAGUCAAACUCAAAUGCAACAAGUGGCCAAGUAAUCUUCUGUAUUGCUU